rnacentral:misc_RNA from 1 species
CAUCGAUGGCUCACCUCAAAUUGAUUAGCUGGACUUGUCUUGAGGACUGGUUUGACUUGGCGUAAUAAGUAUUUCGCUGAGGACAUCGUAAGAUGGCCAUCCACUUGACCACCGUCCGCUUUCCAACCCUGUUCUUUCUUUGGAAAGACGUUUUUUAUACAUCUGGCCUCAAAUCAGGUAGGACUACCCGCUGAACUUAA